rnacentral:rRNA from 1 species
UACGGAGGGAGCAAGCGUUAUCCGGAUUUACUGGGUGUAAAGGGCGUGUAGGCGGGCCUGCAAGUCAGAAGUGAAAUCUGGGGGCUUAACCCCCAAACUGCUUUUGAAACUGCGGGUCUUGAGUGAUGGAGAGGCAGGCGGAAUGCGUGGUGGAGCGGUGAAAUGCAUAGAUAUCACGCAGAACUCCGAUUGCGAAGGCAGCAUACCGGCGCCCGACUGACGCUGAAGCACGAAAGCGUGGGUAUCGAACAGG